UACGGAGGGUGCAAGCGUUAUCCGGAUUCACUGGGUUUAAAGGGUGCGUAGGUGGGCAGGUAAGUCAGUGGUGAAAUCUCCGGGCUUAACCCGGAAACUGCCAUUGAUACUAUCAGUCUUGAAUACCGUGGAGGUAAGCGGAAUAUGUCAUGUAGCGGUGAAAUGCUUAGAUAUGACAUAGAACACCAAUUGCGAAGGCAGCUUACUACCCGAAUAUUGACACUGAGGCACGAAAGCGUGGGAUCAAACAGG
rnacentral:rRNA from 1 species